UACGUAGGUGACCAGCGUUGUCCGGAUUUACUGGGCGUAAAGAGCGCGCAGGCGGUCGUUCAAGUCGAGUGUGAAAGCCCCCGGCUCAACUGGGGAGGGUCACUCGAUACUGAUCGACUUGAAGGCAGGAGAGGGAAGCGGAAUUCCCGGUGUAGUGGUGAAAUGCGCAGAUAUCAGGAGGAACACCGAUGGCGAAGGCAGGUCUCUGGGCCACUACUGACGCUGAGAAGCGAAAGCGUGGGGAGCGAACAGG
rnacentral:rRNA from 1 species